rnacentral:rRNA from 1 species
UACGUAGGGGGCAAGCGUUGUCCGGAAUCAUUGGGCGUAAAGAGCGUGUAGGCGGCCAGAUAAGUCCGCUGUGAAAUCUCGAGGCUCAACUUCGAGCUGUCGGUGGAAACUGUCUGGCUAGAGUCCGGAAGAGGAGAAUGGAAUUCCCGGUGUAGCGGUGAAAUGCGCAGAUAUCGGGAAGAACACCCGUGGCGAAGGCGGUUCUCUGGGACGGUACUGACGCUGAGACGCGAAAGCGUGGGGAGCGAACAGG